rnacentral:precursor_RNA from 1 species
AGACACGUUUGGUCCCUCCAUCGAGGUGGAUGCUGAGCCCUCCUCGGGGUGGCCCCGUGUCUGC